GAUGAACGCUGGCGGCGUGCCUAAUACAUGCAAGUCGAGCGAACAGACGAGGAGCUUGCUCCUCUGACGUUAGCGGCGGACGGGUGAGUAACACGUGGAUAACCUACCUAUAAGACUGGGAUAACUUCGGGAAACCGGAGCUAAUACCGGAUAAUAUAUUGAACCGCAUGGAUCAAUAGUGAAAGACGGUUUUGCUGUCACUUAUAGAUGGAUCCGCGCCGCAUUAGCUAGUUGGUAAGGUAACGGCUUACCAAGGCAACGAUGCGUAGCCGACCUGAGAGGGUGAUCGGCCACACUGGAACUGAGACACGGUCCAGACUCCUACGGGAGGCAGCAGUAGGGAAUCUUCCGCAAUGGGCGAAAGCCUGACGGAGCAACGCCGCGUGAGUGAUGAGGGUCUUCGGAUCGUAAAGCUCUGUUAUUAGGGAAGAACAAAUGUGUAAGUAACUAUGCACGUCUUGACGGUACCUAAUCAGAAAGCCACGGCUAACUACGUG
rnacentral:rRNA from 1 species